rnacentral:rRNA from 1 species
AAAAAAAAGAGUUUGAUCGUGGCUCAGGAUCAACGCUGGCGGCGUGCAUGAGACAUGCAAGUCGAACGGACACUCAGGGCUUGCUCUGUGUGUUAGUGGCGGACGGCUGAGUAACGCGUAGGUGACCUGCCCCGAAGUGGGGAAUAACUGCCCGAAAGGGUGGCUAAUACCGCAUGUGGUGAUGCGUUCAUUCGCAUCAGUAAAGCCGCAAGGCGCUUCGGGAGGGGCCUGCGUCCGAUUAGCUCGUUGGUGGGGUAACGGCUCACCAAGGCGACGAUCGGUAGGUGGUCUGAGAGGACGAUCACCCAGACUGGGACUGAGACACGGCCCAGACUCCUACGGGAGGCAGCAGUCGGGAAUUUUGCGCAAUGGACGAAAGUCUGACGCAGCAACGCCGCGUGAGGGAUGACGGCCUCGG